AGUUGGAGACGAUGCCCUGCCAGAUGGAGGCUCGAAACCUGUCCUUUCAAAUACCGAAGGGGAUGAUGAUGCUACUCGACCAAAAAUCACUCAACAGAUGACCACAGAUGGAGACGAUGCCCUGCCAGAUGGAGGCUCGAAACCUGUCCUUUCAAAUACCGAAGGGGAUGAUGAUGCUACUCGUCCAAAAAUCACUCAACAGAUGACCACAGUUGGAGACGAUGCCCUGCUAGAUGGGGGCUUGAAACCUGUCCUUUCAAAUACCGAAGGGGAUGAUGAUGCUACUCGUCCAAAAAUCACUCAACAGAAAAGGUUCUUGAAAGUGAAGACGAAAGCACACAGGGGGCACACUGUUCAUCUACUGUUGAUGCAGAAGAGACUCUUCCUUACAUCGAGAGCCCUGAAAUUCCACCAACCAAGAAGCGAAGACAACGGCCGUUGGUUGAAAUGCCGGAAGAAGUCGGCGCUAUGAGGCCUUCCUCCCAAGCAGAGACUCUUCCUCACAUCGAGAGCCCUGAAAUGCCACCACCCAAGAAACGCAGACAACGGCCUUUGGUGGAAAUGCCGGAAGAAGUCGGCGCCAUGAGAAAAAAAGAGAAUAUGAAUUACAAAUUCACAUUUUCCUGAAUGUAUGAAAAAGUGAGCCCAGACAGUGAUCAUAUUGCACAAUUUAUUUGUAUUCCUUUUAGCUGUUCCUUUUCCCCAGUGUUGAUUUUCAGUUAAGUUCAAGUGGCAGAAUGCACAAAUCAAUGUUUGACUGAAAAUGUUUUAUCCAUAAGUAGAGUGCACAUAAGUUUACUUUCUGCUUUACUGUAGAUACUGGCUUAUUCUGUAUACCAAAUUCCAGCACACAUUCCUAACCGUUUGAAUUACAAUUUUCUCUGCCCACUUUAAGGUAAAGCUGCAAAGAAGAAAAAACCCUGGCGGCCGACGGAGGUCCAGGCAGUCGAGAGGCACAUGACUCGCUUCAUCACCUCUUGCAUUGUACCUGGGAAGAGUGAUUGCGAGAAAUUUUUAAGGGUUGAACCAGAAGCACUACAGAACCGGGAUUGGCAGAACCUUAAAUUCUACAUUCAUAACCGAAUUAAGUCCUACAAAAAGAAGUGGCAAUGAAAAUAGUUUAUACAUUGCAUGUAUAAUGUAUAAUAUUAUACAUUAUACAUGUAUAAUAAUUUUUAAUUAUUAUACAUGUAUAUAUAUCCACGUAAUUGAAACAUGAGUCUGAAAGAAGUUUAAUUAUUAUAGAUUUAAAUUUCAGGUAGUCGUUCAGUACUAUCAUUUUGCUCAGAAAGGCCAAAAAGGGCAUAAUUUUAAAAGAAUAUGGUGACGUUUCUACCUUGAUUCUGUAUUUCCAGAUGCUUUGUAUCCAACAAAUCUUGUUGAAGGGCCAAUAAAAGCCCAAUAAUGAGUGAGACCUCAAUAAAAGUUUACUUUUGCAA